rnacentral:tRNA from 3 species
UCCCGAAUAGCUCAGCUGGUUAGAGCAUCUGACUGUUAAUCAGAGGGUCGCUGGUUCGAGCCCAGCUUCGGGAGCUA